rnacentral:rRNA from 1 species
AGUGAACGCUGGCGGUAGGCCUAACACAUGCAAGUCGAACGGCAGCACAGUAAGAGCUUGCUCUUACGGGUGGCGAGUGGCGGACGGGUGAGGAAUACAUCGGAAUCUACUUUUUCGUGGGGGAUAACGUAGGGAAACUUACGCUAAUACCGCAUACGACCUACGGGUGAAAGCAGGGGAUCUUCGGACCUUGCGCGAUUGAAUGAGCCGAUGUCGGAUUAGCUAGUUGGCGGGGUAAAUGCCCACCAAGGCGACGAUCCGUAGCUGGUCUGAGAGGAUGAUCAGCCACACUGGAAGUGAGACACGGUCCAGACUCCUACGGGAGGCAGCAGUGGGGAAUAUUGGACAAUGGGCGCAAGCCUGAUCCAGCCAUACCGCGUGGGUGAAGAAGGCCUUCGGGUUGUAAAGCCCUUUUGUUGGGAAAGAAAAGCAGCAGGUUAAUACCCCGCUGUUCUGACGGUACCCAAAGAAUAAGCACCGGCUAACUUCGUG